rnacentral:tRNA from 1 species
GCAGAUGUGGCCUACUGGUUAGGGCUUCGGGAUCGUAACCGAAGGGUUGCGGGUUCGAUCCCAGACCAGUAGUA